AAUUAAGUAUUACUUUUGCCCAAAAAAAAUUGAAAAUGCUUGCUAGCAAAAUUUAAAAUCACAAAUGAUGCUCAUUGGAGUACUUCAGUUGCCGGCGGGAAAAGGUACCACUGCCCUUACCAUACUGACCGCCGGAGCCGGGAGGAAUUGAAGCUCAGUGGUUGAUGAACAACAGAACAAACAUUGCAAUCAUGAAACGUGAAGUUAUCAGCAGACAGGCAGAUCUACUGGUGGAGCUUCCAAUGAUUCCAAUUGACUGACUCCGUUUUCAACAAGGAAAGCCAUGGCCAAACCCCAGGUGGUACAGCUGGGAAGUCAGUUGAGAAAACACCAGGAAUGCCAUUGUGAUGUGCCUGUAGCAGGGAAAAAUUGGAUGGUAGCACAAAAGACACAUUGUUCAUACUGGCAGUGAAUCGAGUUCCAUUUGGACCUUGACAGUUUCUAGAGCGUGCACCUCUUGGACAAUUGUUGAGUCCUAGCCCAACAGUGA